rnacentral:misc_RNA from 1 species
GUUUUUAUAGAGUUGAAACAAUUAAAUAGAACAGUCUCUCAAAGGGCCACCAACCGAGUUAUACGGAAACACAGAACAGAACCGAUUAGCUUUUUGAUUACUGAGAAGAACAAUUAAAUGGUAGUUAGGCAUAUGUCUGAUAAUCUCUAUUGAGACAAUUUGCAAACGAAGACUGAACAACGCAAAAAAGUUUAUCAUUGAGGAUGCUAUCAUAUUUUGGAAUGGAAAUGGACUAAAAUUAAUCAAAUUUUUGAACUACAAAAAUGAGAACAAGAAAUCACCAAUAAUAAAAUCGAGCAUAUGUUUUAUAAUUUGCAAGCCAUAAUUAUAUCAAAAUAGUUAUAAAUACAAAAUUAGUUUUCCCGAAAAAUAGAACCAAGCAGAAUUUCAGAAAAGGAACUAUUGUAUCAUGUCUGAUUCUAACAUGUCAGAUAUGGAAGAAAUAGAGGUUGGGGACGAGUGCCCCCAGGACGUUGAACACUGCCCAUCCAGGGACUGCAGUCCGGUAUUGGAAGUAUCAAGCACACAACUAACCACAGCACCCACUGCCAAACCUACAAACACUUCAUCAAAGACAGCAACAAAGUUAUCAUUUAGUAUCAAUAGCAUAUUAGGAAGUAAGGACGAUAAAUCAAAAUCAGACUCUGAGUCCCACGGCAUUGAUUCCUCAGACCAAUGUCUUCCGAAUAGACCAAACCUAGUACCAUUAGAUCUUAGUCCAACUAGCAGAAUACAUCAUGGAAUGCACUCAGCGCUACCUAUCGGCUACCCCGGAAUGCUUAUAAACCCACUAUGUGAGACUGUAGUGUUUAUGCCCGGAGCGGGUUUUGCUUCCGGGGGUGUGAUCAGGGUACCUGCGCACAGACCAAAUCCCCUGUCACCAGCAAGUGUAUCGAACAACAGCUUUGCAUGGAUGGAAACUAGAAAAGACAGACUUGCCCUGACCAGGAGAAUUGGCCAUCCCUAUCAAAACAGAACACCACCAAAGCGAAAGAAGCCGAGAACAUCAUUCUCCAGACUACAAGUGAUGGAGCUCGAGAAGCGAUUCCACCGACAGAAAUACCUGGCAUCCGCGGAAAGGUCCGCUCUUGCAAAGGCCCUAAAAAUGACAGAUGCCCAAGUGAAAACCUGGUUCCAAAACAGAAGAACGAAAUGGAGGCGUCAAACAGCGGAGGAACGUGAAGCAGAGAGACAAGCAGCGAAACGCUUUAUGCUAGGACUCGCCUCUGAGAAUAGUAAGAACAUUUAUGACAAUCCAGAUCCUGUCGUUGUAAAUAAUGCAUCGCUUAAUGCACUUCAAAACCUGCAGCCAUGGGCCAAUGAGGAACCAUCAAAAGAUAGACCUGAAUACCUGAAUGCACCGUCUUUAACUUCGCCAAACCUUGUGUGAAGGGCAAACCAUGACCAAUAUACAUUGAAGGCAUGGUAAAGCGAACUAAGGAGAAGCAACUGAUAUUGUUGGGCCUAGUGACACCGCCACCAUGCAAGCUCGCCCAAUGACACAACAAGCAAACACUCAACCAAAUUAUGCACUGUUGUCGUUUACAUAUGCCGUACAGUUGUUGUUGAAGAUGUAAACCUUACAACAUGUACAAUGAGCGUAAGAUAGGCUUGCCUCAAAACUGUUUACUUCACCUUCCCAACAUAACAAGGUGGAGUACAGGGGGUAGUCUUGGAGCAAGACUAAGAAUAUGAGUAAAAUAGCCAUUUUACUUUCUGUAGCGCUUUAGACUCAAUAAUCCAUAUACAUAAAAAAUAUGCUAUCUGUUUCUGACUUUUAGCUUUGAAUAUAAACAUCUUCGUAUGUGAUAUAUUAAAUCAGAUCAAAUGUGAUGCAAAUGUACAAAUAGUCAUUAUGAUGACUUUAAGAAUAUUUAAUAUAAUAUAUUCAUAUUUAUCAAAUAUCAGAAAACUUAUUAAUUUUAGUGGGUUUGAGUACUAAUGAUUAAUCUACAGUGUACAUAGUACAAUGU